CUUUAGGCCUCCCAAGCAUUAGGACCAGUCUUCGCUACGACACAAUCUUUGAUAGCAAUCAAAAGAGCAGAAUAUAUAGGGACCGCCCGAUGAAUUUAUCUUUAUUUGGUACGGACAACGUCUUCUGCAUGUUGUGCAUAUAGGUCGAGUUGAAUAAGUGUUGGGAAGAAUAUACAACGUUCCUACCGAAUUUGAAAAUGAUCCAGGCGUCGUAUUCGGAUCUCUCCCUAGUAAACAUUCGAUGUGGAGUGUGACUCCGCACUCGUUGCAUGCAUAUAACCCAUUCUUUGGAUUUAUAUCUUCCUCGCAUAUUUCACAACCAUAAAGCUCAUCAUUUGCAUCUUCUUCAUAAGAAAAAGUGAGGAAAUGCUCAUCAUGUUUGUACCUUGCU